rnacentral:rRNA from 1 species
UACGUAGGGGGCAAGCGUUGUCCGGAAUCAUUGGGCGUAAAGAGCGUGUAGGCGGCCCGAUAAGUCCGCUGUGAAAGUCCAGGGCUCAACCCUGGAAUGCCAGUGGAUACUGUCGGGCUCGAAUCCGGAAGAGGUGAGUGGAAUUCCUGGUGUAGCGGUGAAAUGCGCAGAUAUCAGGAGGAACACCAAUGGCGUAGGCAGCUCACUGGGACGGUAUUGACGCUGAGACGCGAAAGCGUGGGGAGCAAACAGG